GUUCAAGAAGAGAGAAGAUGCUAAAGCUACUAUGUUGGAACUCAGCACAAAGAAUUGGAGUAAGAAGAAAGACAGAGAAAUAUGCUCCAGUAGGAUAUGAAUCAAGAAGUAUCAAGUGUUCAGACCAGUGACUCAGAGGCCCAAGUUGUUGAACAUUCAAGCUAGCAGAAAGAAAACUUUCUUAUGAAGAGGUCCUUCCUGACAAAGCUGGGGCUGGAGUGAAACCAGCCCAG